UACUAGAGUAGCACUCGCAUAUCAAUAAGCGGAGGAAAAGAAACUAACAAGGAUUCCCCUAGUAACGGCGAGUGAAGCGGGAAGAGCUCAAAUUUGAAAUCUUAAAGGGUUUCCCUUUACGAAUUGUAGUUUAAAGAAGUGUUUUCUGUUGAGGUUUUGGUAAAAGUUCUUUGGAAUAGGACAUCAUAGAGGGUGAGAAUCCCGUAUUUGACCUUUACUUUCAACUUUGUGAUACACUUUCAAAGAGUCGGAUUGUUUGGGAAUGCAGUCCAAAAUGGGUGGUAAAUUUCAUCUAAAGCUAAAUAUUGGCGAGAGACCGAUAGCGAACAAGUACCGUGAGGGAAAGAUGAAAAGAACUUUGAAAAGAGAGUUAAACAGUACGUGAAAUUGUCAAAAGGGAAGCGUUUGACACCAGUGUUGUUUUUCUGAAAAUCAAUUAAAGAACUGUUUAUGCUAAGCUGUUUAGACUUUAUCAGCUAUCUGUUUAGUUUUAGGCUUUUCUUUAAUGCACUUUUCAGUUAACAAGUCAACAGCAAUUUCUUUUGCUGUAAAAAAGCUUGAGGAAGGUGGCUUGAGAUUCGUCUUAAGUGUUUAUAGCCUCUUGCCUAUGCAGUCGGAGAGAUUGAGGUCUGCAGCGUAGAUCCUUCGGGGCUAAAUGCAUUUGUGCUAAGUUAUAGCAUUUUAUAGACAACUUGUUGACUAUGAUUUGUCUUGUAGCUUACUCGCUUAUGUUAUUUUACCUACGCUUAGGAUGUUGAGCGCAUGUCUCUCUCU
rnacentral:rRNA from 1 species